rnacentral:lncRNA from 1 species
CGACGGUAGCAGAGCCGCGAAAGGGCUCGAGUAACCUCCUGCAGGAGGAUAGCUUCCGCUGUAAGCUGGAGGAGCGCCUCCAACACCGUGUGCCUGCUGCUUGUCCUUUGGCGGCUUCUCCCCAGGAGGGGCACCGUAGGGAGCGGAAGGUGCGCCGUACGGUGCAGCGGCGUAUGGGACACCGUAGGGUUGAGGAGGCGGGGGGGCGCCGGCGGUGUAUGGAGCGGCUGAGUAGGGCUGAGCCGGAGGGGCGCCGUAGCCGUAGCCGGGAGGGUGUUGAGGGUAUCCACCGGACAUGUUUAGAACAAUUUUCUGGUACAAAAGAGUUUUUAC